GGCCAGAUAUCUGCCCCAGUUAGUCCUCAGAAUCCAGCUCUACUUUGUCUUCUCCCUGUUUGGUUGCACCGCAGACCAGAGGUUAUACGUGACAAAAAAGCCUCUUUUAUCUCCGCCUUCGCUUCCACUGCCCUCUCCUACCUCCGCACCGCAGCUCUCUCCGCGUCGGCCUCGCCCCUGGGGACCGUGGAUUCUUUAUCUCCUUGGCGCGGCGCUCCUGCAGGCGGCGAUAGGAGCGGCGACUACAGCUCCCAGCAUGCCCCGCCUCCCACCCCUCGGGAAGCCGACCCGGUAGUAGCUCUUACCCCGCAAAGGUUCCCUCUUCUAGUGUGGUCCGCCGCUCACCGCUCGGGACUCCAGCGGCUCCGGGGCCGGUCUCCGGGACGCGGGCACUGCCCAGGGUGACAGCACGGGAGCAUGGCCAUGCACCUGGGCAGGCUGAGCGCGGGCCCCUGCUGGCGCGCCGCGCGGGGCUGCUGCGGGGAGCUGCGCGCUUGGGCCCCACGCAGCGCGGCGGGACGCCUCUGCCGGCCCCCUGGCACCGCUGGCCCCGAGCAGAGCCGCGGGCUGGGGCACGGCCCGAAGACGCGAGGUGGUCCCCGGCUGAGGACCGGGCUGGCCGCGGGGCUGGCCGGACUGGCGGGGCUGGCGGCCGCCGCCUUUGGGCACGUGGAGCGGGCAGAGAUGGUGCGCAAGAGUUCGGGGACGCAGAGCCCCCCGCCGGGGAAGCCUGAGGAGGAGGACGACGACCUGGCCCGCCGCUGCAGCUGCUUCAUGGCUUUGCCUGUGACCGACCUGCGCGAGCUGAGGGGGAGGCCGGGAGACAUGAAGACCAAGAUGGAGCUGCUGAUCCUGGAGACCCAGGCCCAGGUGUGCCAGGCGCUGGCACAGGUGGACGGGGGCGCCCGCUUCUCUGUGGACCGGUGGGAGAGGAAGGAAGGAGGUGGUGGCAUCAGCUGUGUACUUCAAGACGGGCGUGUUUUUGAAAAGGCUGGGGUGAGCAUUUCUGUUGUUCAUGGAAAUCUUUCAGAGGAAGCAGCAAAACAAAUGAGAAGCAGAGGAAAAAUACUGAAGACGAAAGAUGGUAAAUUGCCGUUUUCUGCUAUGGGUGUGAGCUCUGUUAUCCACCCUAAGAAUCCUCAUGCUCCUACUAUCCAUUUCAACUACAGAUACUUUGAAGUAGAAGAAGCUGAUGGUAACAAGCAGUGGUGGUUUGGUGGUGGAUGUGACCUUACCCCAACAUACUUGAACCAAGAGGAUGCGGUGCAUUUUCACAGGACUCUAAAGGAGGCUUGUGACCAGCAUGGUCCAGAUCUCUACCCCAAAUUUAAAAAAUGGUGUGACGAUUACUUUUUUAUAGCCCAUCGUGGGGAGCGGAGGGGCAUCGGGGGUAUCUUUUUUGAUGACCUUGACUCUCCAUCCAAAGAAGAGGUGUUUCACUUUGUGCAGAGCUGUGCCCAGGCUGUCAUUCCUUCUUACAUUCCCCUUGUGAAAAAGCACUGUGAUGACUCCUUCACCCCCCAGGAGAAGUUGUGGCAGCAGCUCCGGAGAGGACGGUAUGUAGAAUUUAAUCUGCUGUAUGAUCGAGGUACAAAGUUUGGCCUCUUCACCCCAGGAUCCAGGAUAGAAAGCAUCUUGAUGUCUUUACCUCUAACUGCCCGAUGGGAAUACAUGCAUUCACCCUCAGAGAACUCCAAAGAAGCUGAAAUUCUGGAAGUUCUGCGCCAUCCAAGGGACUGGGUGCGUUGAUGCAGAGUCUGUAUUGCUAAUUUCACCCUCAAAAGGAUGCAUGAUCCUGAAAAGGCUGAGGACUACUCAUCUAAAUCGGGAGGGUGUCUAUACCCCAGGGGGUGCAUGUGAUAUUUCAGUGAGGAAAGGAAAAGAGGCUGUAAAGCUGAUGAACUGAAACUUCAGUUCUGGCUGCAGAUGGAUGCGAGAGUUUAUAGACAUCACAGCCUUCCCAUGAGUCGGGAGAGGAGGGGCACAGAGAUGAAAGGCAAGGGGAAAACUGAAAAAGCAGAAGAACUGAGGGCACAAGAUUUGUGUUCUGAUCUUGGCUCUAUCAUUUCCUGAUGAGUGAUCUUGAGAACUCCCUAAAACUUGUUUUCCUCACCUGAGUAACAAGCUUAAUAAAAGCAUCCCACCAGUCCUUUAAUGAGGAUAAAUUGAGAUAACAUAUGAGGACAUGCUUCAUUAAUGGAAAUAAUACAAAAAUGUUUGUUAUUUGUCACAAAAAAGGCAGAUGUGCUUUUGAAACAUUUAGAGUCCAGAUUGACAGUGGGAUCAGUCUGUCUGUUUUCUCUCCUUUUCCAUUAACUCUGUGUCUGAACUUUCUCAUCUCUAAAAUUGGGAUAACAAUAUUUACUUCUCCAGGUUGUUUUAAGGAUUAAAAUGGAUAGGCUUGUAAAGUAUUUAGAGAAGUGUCUGUCUGUCCUCACUCUCAUCCCAGUAAGUGUCCAACAAAUAUUUUUGUUGUUUCCAUUUCCUCUCCAAAUCCAUGUGGAAAGACAUUAGUGUCUGUCACUGAGGUUCAGCUCAAUCAGAAGUCAAGCCAAGCCCCACUGACCCAGGAAAGAAAAAUCCCUGACUUUCUCAGAACUUCUUUUAGGGCAUUUAUUACUUUCUGCUUUCCUCUGUUCACUGUUCCCAUUGCUCACUCCUCAGACUCUUUGAGUGGGUGCGUGACUUUUUGCCCCCAUCAUUCUAUUAAAACUGCACGUGUUUUAGAGGAAGUAAACUAUAAAGGGUUCUUCAGACAGUUAAAAGUGAUGUGAUGCAUUUAGAAAGGGAGAGAAUUUUUAAAACCCAGAACAAUGAUCAAUUCUAUUUCAACUUGCAAUAUACAGUUAACAGCAUUAGGUGUGAGUGAGAAGUGGAAUAAGCCUGAUUAUAGGCGACUGUUACUAUAUUUCUGAAAAAGAUGUUUCUUCUUUCCUUCAUGAUUGAAUUUUCAGUUACCACCUGUCUUCUUGGAUAGAAAUAACUUCCUUUCUCUGAAGCUGUUGGGUUUCUCCGGGAGCUGGGAGGUUCUGCACCUUGCGUGUGACUGCUUUCCUCAGUUCAGUAAAGAGAUCAGUCACCAAGUCACCCUUUCCUCUCCAGUGAUAGCUGCCACCUCUCGUUUUCACAAGAAAUGAUAAAGCAAAUGAGUCAGCCCCCAGGACACUUCAAGACUGGCACGCAAUGCUCAGGCGAACCUCAACUUGAGCUGGUGCUAAAGAGGUUUUAGAAAAAGCCUUCAGAAACCCUUCCUCCAGAAAUAAAGGCAUGAAUCUGCCUUCCUUUUUUCCCCCUCUCUCUCCAUUGGCCUUUUAACGGCUUUCCAGAUUUCAUUGAACUUUUUAAAAACACAAAGUUAUGAUUUUUAGUUUGAAUAAAAAAGCAGUGAUAUAGUAGUCUGUGAUCUUCCCCUUUAAGGUAAGAAUCUGCAUAAUUAUGUGUAAAGAGAAGGUGUUUUGAAUUGUAGAGGAGGGAAGGUGUGUUUAUUCUCCUAACUGUCAGUUACUUUGCAAUCAGUUACUUUGCAGUCAAGUAUAGGACUAGAAAGGUCUUUUCGCUUAUGUGCUUGGUUGGUUUGUUUCAAUGACUGUUUUUAAACAGUGACAGGUUAUGUCCUCUGUUGUUUUCCUAACUACAUUUUUAAAUAUCACAACAAUUUCUGUUUUAAGUACUUGGAAUGAUAUGUACAAUAAAAUAAUUGUUAAAUAAUAGAAAAACAAAAGAUGCGACUGAGAAAUUCUAAAUGAAACCCACAUCUAAACUACUUUUUUGACCAGCUUUGUAAAUAAUCGCUUGUUUAUAAAGGUGUUAAUUUAUAUUGUAGGAGGGAGAAGGAUUUUAGUUCCUUUGAACUUUUAUUAUUAUCCUUGUCUGUGUACGCUAGAAAGAAAGCAAACCAAUAGCAUUGAAAUUGUUUAGUCAUUAAUUAUGGUAUUCCAUGAUUAUUCCUUUCCAAGAGUUCAGUGCACUAUCAUCUGACUGGGUAAAGUGAAGCGGUGGAGACCAGAACUUGGGCAGCAGGAAAGUGGAUAAAGUUGCUGGAAAAGAAAACUGUGAUAUUAGAGAAACUGGUUUAGCCCAGUACAGAGGCUAGAAAAAGUCAACUGCAUAUUUGCCCAAAGCAUCCACCUUAAAAAAAAAACAAACAGAUUUUAAUCAAUUGAACAGGUAGGACUUUGGUCGGAAUGUUUAUUUUUGUCUAUUCAUUUAUUCUUUAUAAUCAGUCAGAUAAAAUGGUUUGGAUUGGGUACCGUUAUGCUUGUAUAUUUGAGCAAAUCAAUAUCCACAAUAAAAGUGUUAUAAGAUGAUAAGAAAUGCCAAACUGGCCCAGAUCUACGAUCCAUCCACCCUAAUUUCACCUGUUUCAGACUGAUCUGGAGUCAACAUGCGCUAUGACCUGGUGGUUGCCCUCCAGACAACUUCUUAAGUUUAGGGAGAGCCUGUAAACAGUGCUGAUAACAGUGCCUGGCAAAUGUGUGGCUUGGGAGUGAUUCAUGUUUGCUGAACAAAUGAAUGAGCCAGAAAGUAACCAUCAUAUACUUACCUCCAUUCCCCUGAAGCUAGUCUUAGUUUAUGUUACCAACUAUGCAUGAUAAGUUCUUUGUUUUAAAUGUCUUAUAUUACCUUAAAAAUUACUUAUCUUCAGCAUCAAGAAUUCCUCCCUCCUCAACUUUGGUAUUCCAGGAUUUGACCUGAUUAAAGUUUAAGACAGAGAAAAAUGCUCUGCCACCUGGUUGAUGUACUCCCUGCCUCAGCUGAACCCAUUUCCCUCAGAAGUGGAAGAAUUCUGGCUUUGGUUGCAAACAACAUUCCGGUAAGAAAACCAGUUGUGUACCAGGGUGUUUACUGCAUGGCCUACAUGAAGGAUAAAUGUUAACUAGUUAUUACUGCUCCUUAAUACCAGCGAUGUUACAAGAUUAACAGAAGUAGAUAAGAAAAAGAAGCAUGAUUUAUAAGUGAUGCUGGCAGAAGGGUAAUUACAGGGGAAUGAGCUAUUAUUAUGUGGUAAUGGUUUAUUGCAAUAGACCCUAACAAGGCCUUUAUAGUAUAUAUCAAUGCUAUUUUCAAAGGCCUGGAGGGACAGGAAAAGGGAGGAAGCAGAAGCUCAUCCUUUGGCGAACGGAAUUUGUUGACAAACACACUCACUAUCAUAUUCUGCAAUUUCCAGGAACUAGAAGUGGAUGAUUAGUUGCAUCUGUUGUGAUAUAUACGGGCGUGACGAGUGGGAGCACUUUGCUGUAUACUUGCUACCCCAGGCUAGAUGAAUCAGAAUUUGGCUUAUUCUUUUGGGUAGAAACAUAAUAAGGGAAUAGAUCCAGCUGGGUUUUUUAAAAUAAAGCAACAUAGUAGAUAAAGCAGGACACAGCGUAAGAUUCUCUGAUUGAAACAGCUCUAUGGUAAGACUGUAGGAGUUUGACCCCACUGACCUUCUGAAGCAAUGUGGGCUUCAGAGAUUAAGAGAGAGCUCUAGAGUGACUUCUCUCCAAUCUAGCAGUUUGGUCGUGGGUUAAGUAAAUUCACACUGAGUAUCUCCAAAGAAAAACCAGUCUCUCAUGGACUUAAUUACACAGGAUAACAAGUAGCAAACUGUAAGAACUCUACACUCCCCCCACCCCAAGCUUUUAAUUUCUGGUAGAGGAGGACAUUCUGGGAACAAGGAAUCAUGUUAGAUCUACAUACUCACACCUAUCCCACACCAAAAAGUUUGCAUUGCUUUGGCAGUGCAUUGGUUAAAAAAAAAA